GACGAGCCACACAAACGUUAUUCGGAAUUACUGGGCUUAAAGGGUGCGUAGGCGGCGCGGAAAGUUGGGUGUGAAAUCCCUCGGCUCAACCGAGGAAUGGCGCCCAAAACUACCGUGCUGGAGGAAGACAGAGGUGAGCGGAACUCAGGGUGGAGCGGUGAAAUGCGUUGAUAUCCUGAGGAACACCGGUGGCGAAAGCGGCUCACUGGGUCUUUUCUGACGCUGAUGCACGAAAGCUAGGGUAGCGAACGGG
rnacentral:rRNA from 2 species